CUUGAUUGCCACUCAGACGAUCCGGGUUAAACUCCCGAGAAAUGCAAAGAUUCUAUAUAUGGUAAAUCACUUCAAAUGUGAGCAAUAUCGGUUACUACGAAAGAAAAAUGAAGUAAAAAAGUAAAUCUUGAGUAUUAGGAAGGUGUAAGAAGCGGAAAUACUUUAUUAAUUCAUUAAAUUGAGAUGUCUUGGGCAAGAUAUCUUGGAGAGAUGACAUUUGGCUACUGUAUAGCUUGUACAAAGAUAACAUUAGUUAUCUUUACAGUAGAUGUAAAUAUAUCUAGAAGAUAUCCGCAAGAUAUCUUGUUCUACUUGGGCGUCCAGAGCCUGGACACAAAUUCGACUGUGGGAUACAGAAGGGCACCCCGGUUAAAACCUAGUCGAUAGAUGAGCUGCAUGAGUGGGUCUGUGGUUCUUAUCCCCUGGCAUCGGGCUACACAAUCCCCACAAAACUCUUGCUCCAAUAGGACCCGUACUAGGUUCGCGAGACAAGGUGGUAUUGCCGUAUAUUGAAUUUUAGGCGAUGCCCGUCCGCAGUAUCUUUUCGAAAGCCUGCGAAACAGCUGUAGCGUCGCCCUUAAAGUUGCCGCCGAUCAACUGACGAAUAGCCCCAAACAACUGUUCAAUGGGGUCACUCGAGAAUCUUCUUGAAAGAGUUUUUUCAACCGCACGGCCAGCUGCCUCGUUCGUUUGCCAACUGGAGACAUCCACCCAGUAAUCACAGGAGUUAAGCCGUCGUGUUAUUCGGGGACGAACUAGCCUCGCACUUUGACAUCCACGCGUUGCUAUCUCCGGAACGGUCUGCACACCCGUUGUCGCAAUGUUCGGGGCAUCCGCCGCAAUGGUCGAGGCAUCCGCCGCAAUGGUCGAGGC